GGCGUUGCCCGGGAGCGGCAGCCCCGCGGCGGGCGAUGAAAGCCACCGACUGGUGCCGGAGCUCGGCGGGGGCCGCGCUGGUGCUGGCCACGUCCAGCGAUGCCGAGCCCCCCGCCGAGAGCGUGGCGGACGGAAGUUCCAAAACAUUUUGGACGACGACAGGCAUGUUCCCACAGGAACUGAUUAUUGGUUUUCCCAAAUGUGUAAAAAUCAGCAAAGUCGCCAUCCAGUGUUAUUUGGUGCGGACCUUAAGGAUUGAAAGAAGCACGUCUAAAGACCCUGUGGGUUUUGAACAGUGUGUUGAAAAAGAUUUGCAGCACAGAGAAGGACAGCUCCAAAUGGAAGAAUUUCCACUUCCUGAGCUCCAAGCCACUUACUUGCGUUUCAUCAUCCAGUCUGCCUUUGAUCAUUUUGUGUCAGUGCACCGGGUGAUGGCAGAGGGCACAGCAGAGAACACUUGAGCCCAGCUUAAAUUUGGGCCUCCACUUUAUUUUUUUUAUAAGGAAGUUACAUUUUGAUAUCUGCACUGCAGAGAAUGUUUAUUAUUAGAACCUUGGAUUAAAGUGGUUUUUGAAGGAUGGCAUGUAUUUCCUGGGGGUGGUAAUUCCAAGGCCCCACUCCUCCCUGCAAAGGCAAUAAAAUGACACAGUGAUGCUGAAGCAGACAGAGCAGAAAUCCUUCAGAGCACAGCAGCUGCACCAGAACUGUGGGCAGGUGUGCCUUGGGCUCCCUUUCCACUGCAGCCAUCCCUGGGAGAUGGUUACACCCUGCUGUGUCACUGGGACAGAGCCAAUGUCUGCAUCCUGGAGGAGGGAGGUGUUCCUGGAUUUCACAGCUUAGACGUACCUCAGGUUACUAGUGAGCCAAAAGAUAAAUAUUUGAGCAGGACUGAGGUGUACAUCAAAUAUGUACGUUAUAAAGGCCCAGACUGGUUUUGCUGCAUUUUCAUUUCUCUCCACAUUUACGGUGCAUUGUGAAAUGUUUAGCUCUCAAACAGAAUGCAAUACUGACUGUUAAAUGUAAAGCAGUCUCAAGUUACCUUGAAAUUUCAAGAUCUCUGUACACUGUG